AGAGGACAUAGAAAAUUGAGGCAAUGUAUUACUAAAUGGGAACAAAUAAGUUAAAUCUUCAGUUUAGUGAUAUUUAAAAUAAAUAGGUUCCUGCCAGCAGAGGUGUUAAAAUAUAUAUAUAAAAAAAAUAGGUAUCUCAGAGGAACUAAAAAUAGGGGCGGUUUUGUUUUGUUUUGUUUCUCCCACUGACAUGUUGUUUUGUCUUUGCAUGGGGGGAUUUGACUUAUUGGAGUAGAAUUUUAGCCCAGCUUCAGAGGCUGUGGAGAAAAGACCAUGGGAAUGAGCUUAGCUGGUAUGGGAAAGCUGAUAUUUUAUGACUAGGGUCAUAAAUGGAAGCUCUGGUGUCAGCACCCUGCAGGUCUGAGUCUUAUGGGAGGGCUCAGAAUUGGACAUUCAGGACCUAUUUGUUUUCCUGGCAUCUUAUUCCUAGUUACCAUCCUCCUGUCAGAGUCUUCUUUAUUUCCCACCUGUUUCUCACUUCCCAAAUGUAAUUUUAAAUUAGUCUUUUGAAUAGGUAAGAUUCAUAUGGUUCAACAUUUUAAAACUUCUAUAUAGAAGUGAACUGCUUCCCUAAAAGCAUGGCCUGGGUUGAGUGUUUUAGUCACAGUGAUAAGGAUAACCAAGCUCAGAGCCUUGCUUACACCCUUGUCCACACCUGAGCAGGAGGCUGGAAGAAACAGGCAUAAAGAGCGUUCUAGAAGAUUCUAGAAAAUCUCACAGUGGCAGGGCUUGGCAGUCAGAGAGCAGGGGUGCUGGAGUAGGGCAAACAGUGGACUUUUAGCAGCAGAACUGUUCUCUGAGUGGCCCAGUAGGGUCAAGGGGGCAGUGGAGAAAAGGAGGGAGUGCCAGCUCAGAGCACAGAAGACCUCCCAUGUGGGCACCUGACAGCCCCAUUCCCAGGAACAGCGGCACCCAAGGAGCGUGGGGGCCCUUCUCAAAGAAGGAUGCUUUUCCCACAACUCCAUCAAAAAGCCACAUUUUUCUCUCCUACCUAGUAACAAUGUUCAGAAAAUAUUUAGCAAAAGGAGGAAAAUGGGAAAGCCCUAAAUAAGAGGCCUGAAAACUCUUCUUGAAAUGGUAAAUGGUGUUGUAGAUUUUAUGUUACUUUUUUUUUUAACUGUUGUGAAAAAGUCUUAGCUAAAAGGGUUCUAUGUAUUUGAGCAAGUGGAUAGUGUUGCUUCAGAGAAAUCCCUCUCAGGGUGAACAGAUUUGAUACAGAUUUGACUCUAUGGAAAGUGUGGUUAACUCCAGCAUUUUCCUAGUUCCUGUUUUUCCUCAGAUCUUGUGGGGUUGUUUGUUUCAGACAGUCUUACUGUCACCCAGGCUGGAGUACAGUGGCGCCAUCUCGGCUCACUACAAUCUCCACCUCCCGGGUUCAAGCGAUUCUCCUGCCUCAGCCUCCC
rnacentral:lncRNA from 10 species